ACAAACUAGGAAUGCUUUAAGUAGUUUUCCAGUUUAAUUCAAAAUUAUAUCUCAACAAAAUAAUUAAUCUAAACGUUGCAUUUUCUUAAAUAAUUUCCAGCUCUGAAAUACUCAGUUUUACAUAUUUGCUAUAAAUUAAAAUCCUUCAUCCUCCUAUAAGGUUUUUGUUUAUUCUCAGAAAAUUCAAAAUAUCUAAUGUGUUCUGCUCACACAUACCAGAUAUAUGAGUGUAAUGGUCACUUGAGGUGACAGAGGGACACUGUACUGAGAGUUUCUUCACAUUCCCAUUUGGCUGAGGAAGCAGCUAGUUUAACCUCUGUUAAACUAGUGUGUGUUCCCCAGUCAAGCUUAAAGACUGGCACCAGGGCGUGCUGUUCUUUCUCCUUUCUAGAAUAUUCUGAACACAGUUUCAAAUACUACUUGUCCAGGCAUAGUGUCACAGACUUUUUAAUCCCAACAUUCGGAGAUAGGGAGAUCUUUUGAGUUUCAGACCACCCAGGGCUACACAAUGAGAUGCCAUUUCCCCAAAAGAGAUGAAGGAAAAGAAAACAAUUCUACUUCUUACCUUUCGUUCUAUCAAAUCAGUUGAGUGUUGAUCCUAGGUCUGACUUGAGAUGCAGCAUUGACUUUAAAUGUCACAGUAAUCAAUUUCUGAGUCAUGUCAAGCCAUAUUUAAAUACUGUAGUUAGUUAUUGCUAUAUACUUAUUUGUAAGAGUUUAAUCAUAGACUUGCUCUUAAAGUUUGUAUGAAAAUAAAUUUAGUCCUAUCUUUGAGUAAUGCUCAAAUACAUAUUUUCUAUUUAAAGUACUAUGUAACUAGAUUAGAAGUCACUCUUUAUUGACUUUCAAUCAGAAGAAAAACAAAAUAACAGCAUUUUUCAUAUUUAUUUUACCCUAGUUAAUGGCAAAACUCUAUUUUCUAAAAUAAAAAUAUAUUCUUGCAUGGUUCCCAUAAGUUAUAAUAAGUUAACAAUAAUUUUGCCCAGUCUUUAUCAUAAACAUGCUAUAGAAUUAAAUUUAUGUAAAACUCAAUGUAAUUUAUUUGAUCUGGAGAGUAAACUGACCAGGAAUAUGAAUAUCCAACAAACUAGCAAAUCCCUCUUCUCGCCUCACUUGCUGCAAAAGUAAUGACAAUAUUUUUAUGUGUUUAACUAAAGUUCUAUCAUUUCAGUGUUCUCACGGUAGUUAAUGUAAUCCCAUUUGCACUCUGAAAACAACAGUCUAUUUAAAUAGUUUGUGCCAUUGUGCAAAGUGUAGUGUCAUCCAUUCCUCAUCAGAAUAACUGGAUGACUAAGUUAUUUGCAUGUUCGAUCCUGUCCUGUGGUAUAAUUAGAGGCUCAGAGAUUGGGAUGCAGAGCACAGAGCUCUAAGCCUGAAUUGUUCCUGCAGCCCGCAUUAAUGGCUCUGAAGUCUUGCCUUCUAAACUAACGGAUUCUUUGAAAUCAAGCUAUCUUAUUUUAGAUUGAAACAAUUGUGAUCUGCUUAUUUCUUAAAUUACUAAACAUCUUUUAAAUCAUUACAAGUAGCUAGAACUGGCAGUCAAGAACAAAUUUGAUAUUCUCAACCUACGUGAUGCUCCUUUCUAAGGAUGGGGACUUGAGCUCUUCUGCUGUAAUGGAAGAAAUCUUGUCACGGUACAAAGCAGAGACACAGGAAGGAGGCAGGUAUCUAGAGGAAGCUAUGUGUUCCUCUGUAAGUACUUCAAUCAAGGGGGGCAAAAUUUUCCCUAAAGAGCUUUUCACAUAUUCUAUAAGCUUCUCAGAAGAUUUAUGCUUGAACUAGCAUAAUAUAUGGGUCAAUAAAGAAUUAUGGAAUAAGCCAAUGGAACUUUUUCUCUCCCUUUGAAGUUUAGUUGCAUUCAAGAAAACUAAAGGGAAGAAUUAGACCAAUAUCACCAAACCUCCUGGAUGUCAAUUUUAUGUGCAUAUAUAUAUAUAUAUAUAUAUAUCAUAUGUAUAUAUAUACACACACAUAUAAAAUCAGAAAUGCACAUACUUUGAUUUGGAAUGAGGAGCUCUGGCAAGCAUUUUGUUUGUUUAUGUUAUUCUUCCAGAUUCCUUGGUUGAACACAAGAUCUAGUAUUCAUAACAUCCAGGAAAGAAAGGUUACAAAGCAGUGUUGGUUACUUUUAUUUUUACUUUUUUUUAAUAAAGCUUUUCUCUUUUGAGGCAAGGUUCUGCAAAAGGACAAUAUAAUCCAGGCUUGCCUGAGACUCACUAUGCCCAUGCUGGAGUAAAAUAUCACACCUGGUUCUUUACUAUACAUUUAGAAGAUCAUACAGAAACUCACACAAACACCAAUCUUAUUAAAAUCUUGUCUGCUGACUUACUUGACAACUAUUACUGAUUUUAAGUGCAAUUUUCAGCUUCCCUAAUUUUAUUUAUUUAUAUAUUUGGCACUAAGGUCUGAAGUGUUCAUUUUAGGCUCCGAAGUAGAUAGUAUAAAGUAAGUAGACAUAUUUCCCCUCCUGAGCAAUAAAGUAAGGUGAUUUGGACUAGUUGAAAAGGUGAGGUACGAAGAUAUAGAAAUAAGAGAUAAAAGAUGAAGGUGCAUGUUUGUUGAUUGGCCCAAUUGCAAGACUAAAGCCUGAAACUGCUUCUGCAGAUGGAUGCUGGAGUUCCCCUGUCAAUAAAGCUUACCGUGGCGCCUGAUAAUAGGGUGUUGGAUGUUGUGUUCCCUACCAAGCCAUCACUCUGUGGGAGUUGUUCUCUUAGAGAAGUGGUAAUGGGUGGCUGGUUGGGAGAGGUUGGAGUCUGGGAGAGAAUAGAAUUGUUAGUUACAAGUGUUCGUAGCUAACCAAUGUCUCAUUUUUUUUCUGACUCAGAGUGGAAAAAAUUAGUUUUACCAGAAUGGAUUAAGUGUGUUCUAUUUCUGAAAAGGACAGGCCCUUAGGCAAAGUAAAACAGAAAACAAGAAAAAUCAAAUGGUCGUUUGUGGGUUUGGGUUGUCUUAAUUUUGUAUGUAAAUGGUUAAUAAACACAAAUUUUACAUUCUUCAAUUUGAUGUGUUUGUACAAAAAAUAAAAAGACAGAUUUU
rnacentral:lncRNA from 1 species